rnacentral:sRNA from 1 species
AUCAGGCAUGCCAUGCCUUUAGUCCCAGCUACCUGGGAGGCUGAGACAGGAGGAUCUCUUGAGCCCAGGAGGUCAGGGCUGUCCUGCACUAUGCAGACCAGGUGUCUACUCUAAGUUUCAUGAGUGUGAUUUUACUUAUGAAUAGUCACUGUACUCCAGCUGGGGUAAUAUAGGUGACCCUGUAUCUU